UACGUAGGGUGCAAGCGUUGUCCGGAAUUAUUGGGCGUAAAGAGCUCGUAGGCGGUUUGUCGCGUUGUUCGUGAAAUCUCACGGCUUAACUGUGAGCGUGCGGGCGAUACGGGCAGACUGGAGUACUGCAGGGGAGACUGGAAUUCCUGGUGUAGCGGUGGAAUGCGCAGAUAUCAGGAGGAACACCGGUGGCAAGGGCGGGUCUCUGGGCAGUAACUGACGCUGAGGAGCGAAAGCGUGGGGAGCGAACAGG
rnacentral:rRNA from 1 species